UACGGGGGAGCAAGCGUUGUUCGGAUUUACUGGGCGUAAAGGGCGCGUAGGCGGCGUGACAAGUCACUUGUGAAAUCUCCGGGCUUAACUCGGAACGGUCAAGUGAUACUGUCGUGCUAGAGUACAGAAGGGGCAACUGGAAUUCUCGGUGUAGCGGUGAAAUGCGUAGAUAUCGAGAGGAACACCUGCGGCGAAGGCGGGUUGCUGGGCUGAUACUGACGCUGGAGGCGCGAAAGCUAGGGAGCGAACGGG
rnacentral:rRNA from 1 species